rnacentral:lncRNA from 1 species
AUUAGCAAAACAAUUAAGCUCUUACACUGUUUGUCUGACUUUUUCGAGCAGUAAAGGAUCCAACUUUCGAAAUCAACAAAAUCUCUGCAUUUAAAGAAACAACAAAAUCAUCAUGAUGAACAAUAAACCCCAAUAAUGAACAAUUUAAGUUUUUAAGAUGGAUGAAAAUGAAUAUAGAAAAAGUCAGAAAAGCCAAUCUUUUUGAAUUGAAAUCUAUGUGUUCUUUUAAUCUGUGAAAAUAUUUUCAAAGCUAAUUCUCAAGAAUAUUACUUUCAUCAAAGAGAAUUCAAUAAUGGUAACAAUCUUUGUCAUCCCUGUCAUAAACAAUCUUUUGAAAAACCUCUUUUCCAAAAUCAAUAUAUAAAAAAAAUAAACACUAAAAACAGGAACUAAAAAGAGGUAAAAACCCAAAAAAAUCAUGUUGUCAAGAAUAUUCACAAAAAACUGAAUCAAACCUAACUCGGAAGGGGAAAAGUGAAAAAUUCAAAGUUCAUAAAACUUACCAAACCAAACCCGAAUUUGUGAACCUUCAGAGCCCAUGAUAGAAUUUCCUUCUCUGUAGAGAUCCUGAAAUCAGUUUGAUAACACAAAACAAAAAAUUUUAAAAAAAAUUGAAGAGUGAUAAAGAAGGAGCAAUUCAGGGAAUAAAGAAAAUGGAAGAGAGAUGAGAUUAAUUCAGUAACCUGAGUUUAUUGACAUCCAAAUACCCAAUUUCAUCGACAAUUUCAAAUAUCAAAAUUUGAGGAAUUGAAAUUUGGGGGUUAGGGUUGAUGAUUUUCGGCCCAUCUGAGNNNNNNN